rnacentral:rRNA from 1 species
AGCGAACGCUGGCGGCAGGCCUAACACAUGCAAGUCGAACGAACUCUUCGGAGUUAGUGGCGGACGGGUGAGUAACACGUGGGAACGUGCCUUUUGGUUCGGAAUAACUCAGGGAAACUUGUGCUAAUACCGAAUGUGCCCUUCGGGGAAAGAUUUAUCGCCAUUAGGGCGGCCCGCGUCUGGUUAGUUAGUUGGGGGGGGAACGGCCAACCAAGGCGGCGAUUAGUAGCUGGUCUGGAGGGUGGACCAGGCCAACCGGGACUGGGACCCGGCCCCGACCCCCAGGGGGGGCGGGGGGGGGGAAUCUUGCGCAAUGGGCGAAAGCCUGACCCCCCCCGGCCGGGUGAAUGGUGAAGGUUUUAGGAUUUAAAAAUUUUUUCCCCGGGGACGAAAAGGCCGGACCCCGGGAAAGAGGCCCCGGCAAACUUGGU